UGGGGAAUAUUGCACAAUGGGCGCAAGCCUGAUGCAGCCAUGCCGCGUGUGUGAAGAAGGCCUUCGGGUUGUAAAGCACUUUCAGCGAGGAGGAAGGGUAGUGUGUUAAUAGCACAUUGCAUUGACGUUACUCGCAGAAGAAGCACCGGCUAACUCCGUGCCAGCAGCCGCGGUAAUACGGAGGGUGCAAGCGUUAAUCGGAAUUACUGGGCGUAAAGCGCACGCAGGCGGUUUGUUAAGUCAGAUGUGAAAUCCCCGCGCUUAACGUGGGAACUGUAUUUGAAACUGGCAAGCUAGAGUCUUGUAGAGGGGGGUAGAAUUCCAGGUGUAGCGGUGAAAUGCGUAGAGAUCUGGAGGAAUACCGGUGGCGAAGGCGGCCCCCUGGACAAAGACUGACGCUCAGGUGCGAAAGCGUGGGGAGCAAACA
rnacentral:rRNA from 1 species